AGUGAACGCUGGCGGCGUGCUUAACACAUGCAAGUCGAACGAGAACGGAUUAUAGCUUGCUAUAAUUGUCAGCUAAGUGGCGCACGGGUGAGUAAUGUAUAGGUAAUAUGCCUCUUACUAAGGGAUAACAAAUGGAAACGUUUGCUAAUACCUUAUACUCCUUAUUAACAGAAGUUAAUAAGGGAAAGAUUUAUUGGUAAGAGAUUAGCCUGUAUUGUAUCAGUUAGUUGGUGGGGUAAUGGCUUACCAGGACUAUGACACAUAACUGGUUUGAGAGGAUGAUCAGACACACUGGAACUGAGACACGGUCCAGACUCCUACGGGAGGCAGCAGUGGGGAAGAUUGCACAAUGGACGAAAGUCUGAUGCAGCAACGCCGCGUGGAGGAUGACACAUUUCGGUGCGUAAGCUCCUUUUAUAUGAGAAGAUAAUGACGGUAUUAUAUGAAUAAGCACCAGUUAACUCCGUGCCAGCCGCCGCGGUAA
rnacentral:rRNA from 1 species